rnacentral:rRNA from 1 species
AUUGAACGCUGGCGGCAGGCCUAACACAUGCAAGUCGAACGAGUGGCGGACGGGUGAGUAAUGUAUGGGAAACUGCCCGAAGGAGGGGGAUAACUACUGGAAAAGGUAGCUAAUACCGCAUACCAUCGGAUGUGCCCAGAUGGGAUUAGUUAGUAGGUGGGGUAACGGCUCACCUAGGCGACGAUCCCUAGCGGGUCUGAGAGGAUGACCAGCCACCCGGGAACUGAGACACGGUCCAGACUCCUACGGGAGGCAGCAGUGGGGAAUAUUGCACAAUGGGCGCAAGCCUGAUGCAGCCAUGCCGCGUGUAUGAAGAAGGUCUUCGGGUUGUAAAGUACUUUCAGCGAGGAGGCGUUACUCACAGAGGAAGCACCGGCUAACUCCGUGCCAGCAGCCGCGGUAAUAC